GCUGUGAUGGCUGAGUGUUGAAGGCAUUGGACUUGAAAUCCUAUGGGGGCUCCCUGCGCAGUUUUGAAUCCAGCUCACAGUG
rnacentral:tRNA from 1 species